GAUGAACGCUGGCGGCGUGCCUAAUACAUGCAAGUCGAGCGAAUGGAUUAAGAGCUUGCUCUUAUGAAGUUAGCGGCGGACGGGUGAGUAACACGUGGGUAACCUGCCCAUAAGACUGGGAUAACUCCGGGAAACCGGGGCUAAUACCGGAUAACAUUUUGAACCGCAUGGUUCGAAAUUGAAGGCGGCUUCGGCUGUCACUUAUGGAUGGACCCGCGUAGCAUUAGCUAGCUGGUGAGGUAACGGCUCACCAAGGCAACGAUGCGUAGCCGACCUGAGAGGGUGAUCGGCCACACUGGGACUGAGACACGGCCCAGACUCCUACGGGAGGCAGCAGUAGGGAAUCUUCCGCAAUGGACGAAAGUCUGACGGAGCAACGCCGCGUGAGUGAUGAAGGCUUUCGGGUCGUAAAACUCUGUUGUUAGGGAAGAACAAGUGCUAGUUGAAUAAGCUGGCACCUUGACGGUACCUAACCAGAAAGCCACGGCUAACUACGUGCCAGCCGCCGCCGUAA
rnacentral:rRNA from 1 species